rnacentral:rRNA from 1 species
GACGAACGCUGGCGGCGUGCCUAACACAUGCAAGUCGAACGCUCUCCAUUCGGUAGCAAUACCGAUGAAGAGGGAGUGGCGAACGGGUGAGUAGCACGUGAGCAACCUGCCCCGAAGACUGGGACAACACCGGGAAACCGGUGCUAAUACCGGAUAUCCCUAUCGGACCGCAUGAUCUGAUAAGGAAAUGGAUUCCGCUUCGGGAGGGGCUCGCGGCCUAUCAGCUAGUUGGUGAGGUAAUAGCUCACCAAGGCAUCGACGGGUAGCUGGUCUGAGA